rnacentral:rRNA from 1 species
CCUACGGAGGGCAGCAGUGAGGAAUAUUGGUCAAUGGGCGGAAGUCUGAACCAGCCAAGUAGCGUGCGGGAUGAAGGCCCUACGGGUCGUAAACAGCUUUUGCACGGGGAUAACACCCUCCACUUGUGGAGGUCUGCAGGUACCGUGCGAAUAAGGGCCGGCUAAUUCCGUGCCAGCAGCCGCGGUAGUACGGAGGUCCCGAGCGUUAUCCGGAUUCAUUGGGCUUAAAGGGAGCGUAGGCGGUCGUUCAAUUCAGAGGUAAAAUCGCGCGGAUCAAGCGGGCACCGCAGUUGAAACUGGACGCCUUGAGUGCACAACAGGCAGGCGGCAUUCGUGGGGUAGCGGUGAAAUGCAUAGAUAUCACGAGGAACCCCGAUUGCGAAGGCAGCCUGCCGGGGUGCGACUGACGCUGAGGCUCGAAGGUGCGGGUAUCAAACAGGAUUAGAUACACCGGUAGUC